AACAGGAUUAGAUACCCUGGUAGUCCACGCUGUAAACGAUGGGCACUAGGUGUGGGGGGUGUCGACUCCCUCCGUGCCGAAGCUAACGCAUUAAGUGCCCCGCCUGGGGAGUACGGCCGCAAGGCUAAAACUCAAAGGAAUUGACGGGGGCCCGCACAAGCAGCGGAGCAUGUGGUUUAAUUCGACGCAACGCGAAGAACCUUACCUGGGCUUGACAUGUUCCUGACCGUCCUGGAAACAGGGCUUCCCUUCGGGGCAGGAUCACAGGUGGUGCAUGGCUGUCGUCAGCUCGUGUCGUGAGAUGUUGGGUUAAGUCCCGCAACGAGCGCAACCCCCGUCGCAUGUUGCCAGCAUUUAGUUGGGGACUCAUGCGAGACUGCCGGUGACAAACCGGAGGAAGGUGGGGAUGACGUCAAGUCAUCAUGCCCCUUAUGUCCAGGGCUACACACGUGCUACAUUGGCGCGUACAGAGGGCUGCGAUACCGCGAGGUGGAGCGAAUCCCUUAAAGCGCGUCUCGGUUCGGAUUGCAGGCUGAAACCCGCCUGCAUGAAGGCGGAGUUGCUAGUAAUCGCGGAUCAGCAUUGCCGCGGUGAAUACGUUCCCGGGCCUUGUACACACCGCCCGUCACACCAUGGAAGCAAGUAACACCCGAAGCCGGUGGCCUAACCCGCAAGGGAGGGAGCUGUCGAAGGUGGGACUCGUGACUGGGGUGAAGUCGUAACAAGGUAACC
rnacentral:rRNA from 1 species